AGCGAAGUCAAAAGCACUAAAUGAAGGAUGGAAAGGUAGCGCUCAUGAUACUCGUAUUUUUCUAGAGGCUAUUGACAAUCCAAAUAUCAAAUUUCCAAAACCUCCUGAAGGAAAAUAUUAUUUAGUUGAUGCUGGGUACCCAAAUGAGUAUGGAUAUCUUGGUCCAUAUAAAGAUGAGAGAUAUCACUUUCAAAAGUUUCGGCGUCGAGGGCAA